UACGUAGGGUGCAAGCGUUGUCCGGAAUUAUUGGGCGUAAAGAGCUCGUAGGCGGUCUGUCGCGUCGGAUGUGAAAAAUCCAGGGCUCAACCCUGGACCUGCAUUCGAUACGGGCAGACUAGAGUUCGGUAGGGGGAGACUGGAAUUCCUGGUGUAGCGGUGAAAUGCGCAGAUAUCAGGAGGAACACCGGUGGCGAAGGCGGGUCUCUGGGCCGAAACUGACGCUGAGGAGCGAAAGCGUGGGGAGCAAACAGG
rnacentral:rRNA from 1 species